UCGAGGAUCUUCGGCAAUGGGGGCAACCCUGACCGAGCGACGCCGCGUGUGCGACGAAGGCCUUCGGGUUGUAAAGCACUGUCGAGGGGGAGAAAAGCCCGCAAGGGUGUGAUCUAUCCCUGGAGGAAGCACGGGCUAAGUUCGUGCCAGCAGCCGCGGUAAGACGAACCGUGCGAACGUUGUUCGGAAUCACUGGGCUUAAAGGGCGCGUAGGCGGGCCGCCGCGUCCGGGGUGAAAUCCUCCCGCUCAACGGGAGAACGGCCUCGGAUACGGGCGGGCUGGAGGGGGGUAGGGGCAGGCGGAACUGUGGGUGGAGCGGUGAAAUGCGUUGAGAUCCACAGGAACUCCGGUGGCGAAGGCGGCCUGCUGGACCCCAUCUGACGCUGAGGCGCGAAAGCCAGGGGAGCGAACG
rnacentral:rRNA from 1 species